ACAAGCAUGAAGAACCGUUUCUAAUCCAACUCUGAUGCUCCCUCCCAUUUUCCCCCUUCGCGUAGAUUUUCGCUCUCUUCCUUUUCGAGUCGCUUAUUUUUUUUCCUACUGGAUUUCUCUUUCGACUAGAUAUGUAUUUUAUAUCUGUUCGCUACUUGAGUUUUCACGGUAAUCUCUAAUCAAAUAUACCAUGGCUUUGAUCGAUCUCACCAAAUCUUGCCUGGAUUCCAUUCGCCAA
rnacentral:lncRNA from 1 species